GAGUAACGCGUGGGUAACCUGCCCCACACUGGGGGAUAACAGUCAGAAAUGACUGCUAAUACCGCAUAAGCGCACGGGAUUGCAUGAUCCAGUGUGAAAAACUCCGGUGGUGUGAGAUGGACCCGCGUUGGAUUAGCCAGUUGGCAGGGUAACGGCCUACCAAAGCGACGAUCCAUAGCCGGCCUGAGAGGGUGGACGGCCACAUUGGGACUGAGACACGGCCCAGACUCCUACGGGAGGCAGCAUG
rnacentral:rRNA from 1 species